rnacentral:rRNA from 1 species
AUUGAACGCUGGCGGCAGGCCUAACACAUGCAAGUCGAGCGGAUGAAGGGAGCUUGCUCCUGGAUUCAGCGGCGGACGGGUGAGUAAUGCCUAGGAAUCUGCCUGGUAGUGGGGGAUAACGCCCGGAAACGGGCGCUAAUACCGCAUACGUCCUGAGGGAGAAAGUGGGGGAUCUUCGGACCUCACGCUAUCAGAUGAGCCUAGGUCGGAUUAGCUAGUUGGUGGGGUAAAGGCCUACCAAGGCGACGAUCCGUAACUGGUCUGAGAGGAUGAUCAGUCACGCUGGAACUGAGACACGGUCCAGACUCCUACGGGAGGCAGCAGUGGGGAAUAUUGGACAAUGGGCGAAAGCCUGAUCCAGCCAUGCCGCGUGUGUGAAGAAGGUCUUCGGAUUGUAAAGCACUUUAAGUUGGGAGGAAGGGCAGUAAGUUAAUACCUUGCUGUUUUGACGUUACCAACAGAAUAAGCACCGGCUAACGUCGUG